rnacentral:rRNA from 1 species
AUUGAACGCUGGCGGCAUGCCUUACACAUGCAAGUCGAACGGCAGCGGACCUUCGGGUGCCGGCGAGUGGCGAACGGGUGAGUAAUAUAUCGGAACGUACCUUUCAGUGGGGGAUAACGUAGGCGAAAGUUACGCUAAUACCGCAUAUUCUGUGAGCAGGAAAGCAGGGGAUCGCAAGACCUUGCGCUGAUUGAGCGGCCGAUAUCAGAUUAGCUAGUUGGUGAGGUAAAGGCUCACCAAGGCGACGAUCUGUAGCGGGUCUGAGAGGAUGAUCCGCCACACUGGAACUGAGACACGGUCCAGACUCCUACGGGAGGCAGCAGUGGGGAAUUUUGGACAAUGGGCGCAAGCCUGAUCCAGCCAUGCCGCGUGAGUGAAGAAGGCCUGGUUGUAAG